UUUGAGGAGGCGGCCAACCCGCGAGGAAGGUGAGAGGGCUGGGCUGGGCCCUGGGCACGGCUUCAGGUCCGUCACACCGUCUGCGUGGGAGCUAAGCGCCGGCAAUGCAGGGGCUCCGGCCCAGCGACCCCACAGAAGCUGAGGCACCCUCUUCUCCACCCCUCCCCCACCAGGUCCCUAAUACCACGCGAGAAGCCGCCUCUCCCCGGGACUGGGAAUCUGCUGCUCGGCCCGGACACACGUUCAGUCCUGGGAAUCAGUCCAGGAUUCUAAUUCCCUAGUCCCUGUCAGCCCCGCCGGGCCUGAGUCGAGCCGUUCGGCCAUCCCGGCGGGGACUGGGAAAACAUAAAAACUCCCUUUACCUGUGGCAGCUCCUUUACUCUUCUUCUUCUUCCGUCUUUUUUUCUUGGCCGCCUCCUCAGCCGUAGAGGCAGCUCCCUCCUCCCUGUCGUCUGGAUCCAGGUCGCCAUUCAGGUGGCUCCCGCAGGACGCUGCCUCCUCCACACCCGCCAUGUUGCCCGAGAGAGCGCGAGGAACUAAGACAGGGCGGCAAGGGCCCGCUCCUUCUUCACCCACCUACACCAGCGACGCCGGAAGCUGCUCUCGAUGUGUUGUUUGGAUUCCUUUCGAUUGAUCAAAUACAACAUCAUCUCUGCAUCUAAAUUUACUGGCAGCAAAAGUCCACUUCUGGUUCAAAGGCACAAUGUCAUCUCAGGAAUUUUUUUGGAAUUUUUCAGUUCAACAAAUGUUUAUUGAACGCUCUGCGCCAAGCACAGUGUUGGGAACUGAGGAUACAAAAAUAAAG